rnacentral:rRNA from 1 species
GAUGAACGCUGGCGGCGUGCCUAAUACAUGCAGGUCGAGCGAACAGACGAGGAGCUUGCUCCUCUGACGUUAGCGGCGGACGGGUGAGUAACACGUGGAUAACCUACCUAUAAGACUGGGAUAACUUCGGGAAACCGGAGCUAAUACCGGAUAAUAUAUUGAACCGCAUGGUUCAAUAGUGAAAGACGGUUUUGCUGUCACUUAUAGAUGGAUCCGCGCCGCAUUAGCUAGUUGGUAGGGUAACGGCUUACCAAGGCGACGAUGCGUAGCCGACCUGAGAGGGUGAUCGGCCACACUGGAACUGAGACACGGUCCAGACUCCUACGGGAGGCAGCAGUAGGGAAUCUUCCGCAAUGGGCGAAAGCCUGACGGAGCAACGCCGCGUGAGUGAUGAAGGUCUUCGGAUCGUAAAACUCUGUUAUUAGGGAAGAACAAAUGUGUAAGUAACUAUGCACGUCUUGACGGUACCUAAUCAGAAAGCCACGGCUAACUACGUG